rnacentral:rRNA from 1 species
UACGAAGGGGGCGAGCGUUGUUCGGAUUUACUGGGCGUAAAGGGCGCGUAGGCGGCCCUUCAAGUCAGGCGUGAAAGCCCCGGGCUCAACCUGGGAGGUGCGCUUGGGACUGGAGGGCUGGAGUUCGGGAGAGGAGCGUGGAAUUCCCAGUGUAGAGGUGAAAUUCGUAGAUAUUGGGAAGAACACUGGUGGCGAAGGCGGCGCUCUGGACCGAGACUGACGCUGAGGCGCGAAAGCGUGGGGAGCGAACAGG